rnacentral:rRNA from 1 species
UGGGGGAUAUUGCACAAUGGGCGAAAGCCUGAUGCAGCGACGCCGCGUGGGGGAUGAAGGCCUUCGGGUUGUAAACUUCUUUUGCUCUGAACAAGGCAUGCCUUUGGGGUGUGUUGAGUGUAGGGGUUGAUUAGCGCCGGCUAACUACGUGCCAGCAGCCGCGGUAAUACGUAGGGCGCGAGCGUUGUCCGGAAUUAUUGGGCGUAAAGGGCUUGUAGGUGGCUGGUUGCGUCUGUCGUGAAAGCUCAUGGCUUAACUGUGGGUUUGCGGUGGGUACGGGCUGGCUUGAGUGAAGUAGGGGAGGCUGGAAUUCCUGGUGUAGCGGUGGAAUGCGCAGAUAUCAGGAGGAAUACCGGUGGCGAAGGCGGGUCUCUGGGCUGUUACUGACGCUGAGGAGCGAAAGCGUGGGGAGCGAACAGG